rnacentral:rRNA from 1 species
UAUUAUUCCAAGAUAAAUAAAUUUCUAGGUUAGUAAUAGAUAUUUACUUAAAAGCUAAAAAAUUUGGCGGUAAUUUAAUCUUUCCAGAGGAACUUGUUUUUUAAUCGAUAAACCUCGAAAUAUCUUACUUACUUUGUGAAAAGUUUGUAUACCAUCAUUAACAGAUAAUUUUUAAAAAAUGAAUUAUUAAAAAUAAGAAAUUAUAAAAAUUAGAUCAAGGUGCAGCUAAUAGGUAAGUUAAAAUGAGUUACAAUAAAAUAUUUUAUAUGGAUAAGUAAUUUAAAGAUUAUUUAGAAGGAGGAUUUGGUUGUAUUUUAAGUUUAAUAUGCUUAUAAGAUGAUAGCUCUAAAUUAUGUACAUAU